rnacentral:lncRNA from 1 species
UUCCAGACGACAGGCUCCUUCCCUUCUCUCACUCGCUGCCGGCGCCGGGAGAGUGGCUGGGAGACGCCUCCGGGGCCAAGCUGGACAUGAGCUGCGGCUGCCGGUCCUGGGACUAGGCCCCGCCAUUUUGGAUCCUCUGACAGGUUUGUCAGGAUGGUGGAUAAGAAUAUUUACAUCAUUCAAGGAGAAAUUAACAUUGUUGUUGGUGCCAUCAAACGAAAUGCCCGAUGGAGCACCCAUAUACCACUGGAUGAAGAGCGGGAUCCCCUUUUGCACAGUUUCAGCCAUCUAAAGGAGGUCUUAAACAGUGGGACAGAACUCUCAGAGAUUGAGCCAAAUGUAUUCCUUCGUCCAUUUCUGGAAGUCAUUCGCUCUGAAGACACCACUGGUCCUAUCACCGGCCUGGCACUCACCUCUG